rnacentral:rRNA from 1 species
AGCAGCCGCGGUAAUUCCAGCUCCAAUAGCGUAUAUUAAAGUUGUUGCAGUUAAAAAGCUCGUAGUUGAAUUUCGGGAUUGACGUGAUGGUCGUGCCUUAAGGGGUAUGAACUGUCGCUGUUGAUUUCUCACCUUCUGGAGAAACUUGAUGUCCUUAAUUGGGUGUCUUGCGGAUCCAGGACCUUUACCUUGAAAAAUUAGAGUGUUUAAAGCAGGCAUUUUUGCUCGAAUACAUUAGCAUGGAAUAAUAGAAUAGGACGGCAUGGUUCUAUUUUGUUGGUUUCUAGGAUCACCGUAAUGAUUAAUAGGGAUAGUUGGGGGCAUUAGUAUUCAAUUGUCAGAGGUGAAAUUCUUGGAUUUAUUGAAGACUAACUACUGCGAAAGCAUUUGCCAAGGAUGUUUUCAUUAAUCAAGAACGAAAGUUAGGGGAUCGAAGACGAUCAGAUACCGUCGUAGUCUUAACCAUAAACUA